rfam:Polynucleobacter sp. VK13 genome assembly, contig: Ga0139086_124
CCUGGUGACAAUAGCGAGUUGGAACCACCCCUUCCCAUCCCGAACAGGACCGUGAAACGACUCUACGCCGAUGAUAGUGCGGAUUACCCGUGUGAAAGUAGGUAAUUGCCAGGC